UUUUUCGCCCCGCCCUUCAAAUGCGAAAGCGACUGCCUUCUUGGAACACUCAAAACUAGCAUCUGAUGAAUGCCUACAUUCAGUCCACAAAGCAACAAUGGUCCUAUUUUUCCCUCCACUUUAAUGAGACCGAUCACUCUUCUAAAAACUAAGCCAGUUCCUUCAAAUUUAACAUGUGAUGAUUAAAAAGAAAUGGCUGGGUUCCGUUCCAAGAUAGCUGAAUAGGAACAGCUCUGGUCUGCAGCUCCCAGAGUGAUCGACGCAGAAGACGGGUGAUUUCUGCAUCACCAACUGAGGUACCUGAUUCAUCUCACUGGGACUGGUUGGACAGUGGGUGCAGCCCACGGAGGGCAAGGUGAAGCAUGACAGGGCGUCGCCUCACCCAGGAAGCACAAUGGGUCGGGGGAUUUUCCUUUCCUAGCCAAGGGAAGCUGUGACAGACUGUACAUGGAAAAUCAGUACACCCCGCCCAAACACUGUGCUUUUCCCACAGUCUUAGCAAAUGGCAGACGAGGAGAUUGCUCUCCCAUGCCUGGCUCAGCGGGUCCCAUGC
rnacentral:lncRNA from 1 species